UAUAUAUAUUCACGCAGACAUAUAUAUAUAUAUACAUAUAUCUAGAAAGAUAAAUAAAAUAUAGGGUGUUUCUAAGAGAUACAUAUGUAAUCAUAUUUUUAGAAUAAACCAAUAUUUUACGUGUAUAUGAUUUAAUACUGUAAAAUAAAAAAUAAAGUUCCCCGUCUCUGCAUGGGUUCUCUCUGGAUAUCCCUCUUCCCGCAGUCGGGGUUUAGGUUACUUGAUGAUGAUGAAGAUUGCCCAUAGGUGUAUAAAUGUGAGAAUAAUUCUCUGUCAGCUCUGAUUGACUGACGACCGUCUCUUGCCCGAUGCUGGUUGAUUGACUUUUAGAAUAUUGAUGAUGCAUCCUUAUUCAAACUUACACAUUCUUUUAUUUUAUACCCUGUUAUUACAUUAACUUUGCAUAUUGGCCAGGAUGGAAUCUAUGUUCAUAAUAUUAUAGACACACUUCAAGUAAUUAUUUUUAAUUUACUUCUUAAUUUGAAUUAAUUGUCUAAUGAAUCUUUCCCUCAGAAUAUGCUUGUCAAUAUAUACAAAUGAAGAUAAAAUGAGACCAAAUUUGGGGGGGGGAAAUGGGACAAUUAACAUGUUGUCGGUUUUAACCACCAGGUGGCGGAUUAGGAGCAUUUUCAGACCCAAUCAAGAUCAAUUUAUUAAACAUUCUUCAUUUAUACAGUAAAUAAAAGGGCCAUGAAAUAGACUAAAGGUAACUCAACAAGUGAAAGUAAUGAAUUUGAAACCUUGUAUAGAAAAACAAUGUCUGAAAGACUCAACGUGUAAUUAAUGACAUAUCAUAACCGUCGAUAGUUUAAGACAGAAACAAUUAAAAAAAACUGUAUAUAUCAAUAUUUUGUCCAAUUACUAAAUUCUCUUCAAAUCUUCAAAAUUGAACUGUACUUAAUAUGUCCAAGUAUAUUUGGUCAUGCUGAUGAUGAAAUAAGAAAACAUAUGUUAUUCAUCUACACAAUAAAGUAAUAUACCAUCUCCUACUCUGUUCUGGAGCUUUCAAGUCAAUCACAUGGUUUUUAUCCAAAGAUGGAUAAAAAAUCAAUGCUUAAAAUGAACUAUGAUAUAAAGUAUAAAUACACGAUAAAAUAGCACAAUAUAUAUGAAGGAAAGUAUACAUGAGGAGGCAAAACAAUAAUAAAAGAUGAUGUGAACUAUUCACUGUGAUGAAUCACUUUGUUAGCUCUAUGCGUGGACAGUAGUACUGGUAGUACAUAUAUACAUGUAGUGGUAGUAGUCCUGGUAGUACAGCAGAGUACAGCAGGUGGAGCCACAGACCGCAUGUUAAACACCGAGAUCUUCGUCUGAUUCCGUUUCAGUUUGUAGAAAUAAAGAUAAAUUGAAACUGUACUAAAAAUAUGUUUCUAUACUUAGAAUGUGUAGUUUUACUUAUUUUAUGUUCAUAUGUUUGUUAAGGAUUAUUGUUUUAUUUAAUACUUUAUGUAAAUUUGAUGUUAAUGCCUCGCCAGACGCGUCGAUCUUUUUCACAUGAACAUUGGCAGAAAUGUACUUUUUUUAAACUGCAUAUAUGACAUUUGAGUUCAAGAUUUGUUCAGUUUAUUUUACUUAACCGUCACGAAAAAAUCAGGAGGAAUACUCUCAGUUCAUUGUGUUUAAGUAAAUCUGUCAAUUGAGUUCCCACUACGCACCGUUGAUAAAUUGCUAUAUUAAUACUUUUUAAAAUAUAGUAGAACAAUAAUAGAUGCAAUGUAAUUCAAACUGUGGCACAAUGAAAAAAUAAUUAAAUCACAUUAUUGCAUAAUCAGUAGAGAAGACAGAAAUGUUAAAAUAUCAAACUAAAGUCAAGAUGUUUAUAACAAAUCAACUUUUAUAAAAAGAUUAUAAGCAUAAUUCAAGGCUAGACGUUUUUAAUUAACAUUACCUUCCUGAUUUACAACACUACACAUUUCUUUGCUUUCCUCCUCCAUGCUGUUCUCAUAAAUACUGUGUGAACGUUAAAUUAAGAAUAUUAUUUUCAUUCUUCUUAACAUUUAAGAACAUUCUCCGAUGCUCGUUUUAUUUUCUUCUUCUUUAAAGAAGUAUACCUCAAAUAAAUUCACAAAAACACAGAGUUAUGAAUUUAAUCUUCAUAGCCAGUAGUUUUGGUCAAAGUGUGAUAUGAAUUGUGUUUAUUUUAAGUUCUCUUUUAGAUGUUUGUGAUGUAACUUCAUCAAACAAGCUAUUGUUGUGUAAAGUACAUAAAUACUUGGUAGAAUGAAGACAAACAUUUCCUCCCACCUGACCACAGGAAAUACAUUUCAAAUGUUUAAAGAUGUUGGGUUUACAGUAAAAUUCAUUCAUUUAUUUUUAUGUAAAUGACACAUGUUGCACCUGUGAGGUAAAUGGAACAUUACAGCCAGCAUGUUAAAAUCAAUUCAUAAACAGUAGUGAAUCUAUUGUGUUAAUUACAUGAGCUGUUUUCCAAAACUAUACAGUAUAAUUGGGCAUUCAAAAUCAAUAUAGAAUUCCCCAAAAUACAGCAAAAAUCAGUGAAAACAUGAAUCAUUCCGUCUACUUUCCUCUGAAUCUGAUUCUUGGUAUUAUUUGUACAAGUAUUGCUGACUUGUCGACAUGAAGCUAAUCAGUAAUUAGCUGCUUAAUCGUUAGCAUGUGGAGGAGCUGAUGCCACAGGAUCACCUGUAUUUAAACACCUGUGUGUGAGUGAGUCUGAUUCUGGAUCAUUUCAGGUCUCGGUGCCUUUUAGGGUUUCACAGGAUUAAGGAAAUGUAUCGACGAUGUCUAAUUCAUAGUUACUGAUUCUCAAGUAUGAUUAAUAUUUGAAGAGACAGAUAAAUGUGUGGCUGCACACCAGCUAACAACCUAAACUCUGUUAGCUUUUCAGUAUUACCUUCCACAUGUUUUUUUCUUUAUUUAUAAAAUCCAUAAAAACCUGAAUAACUUUCUCAGACUAAGUGUAGCUUAUAUAUUUUUGUAAAAUUCCAUAUUUAAAAGGUGGCCCGAACAUUUUUGGCAUCUUUUUUUAACUAAAAUGACGAAUAUGAUUAAUGGAUAAGCAAAAUGAUAAUUAUUUAAUUAAAUGUCAAUUGACUAAUCCGUUCAUUUAUUUAAUACUAUUAAUGACAUCUACAUAUACAAUACAUUAUAGUCAGCUAUAUCAUUUAUGACCAUAAAAGCAACCAAAUCAAAAUCUUAGGAUUGUGUGUUUAAUCAAAAUGUCUUUGUUUGACGUGUCUCACAUGUUGUACAUUUACUUGUAUUGUGUUUCUACACAUUGAAGCCACUUUUCAGUGCAAAGCGUUCGGCUUUCCUCUGCUGCCUCGUGUCACUCAAAUCAAUUCUGGCAUUGUGAUCGUUUUACUGCACAGAAUACAUGUUUGAAUCCUCUCUCCUGUUAGCCCUCAUUCACAUUAAGGUACACGGCUUAUUUUCUGCCUUUUUGCCGGGAUUCCUCAGUGCUCGCAAUGGUGCGAUCUCGGUGGUGACCACCAGGGGGCGACUCCUCUGGUCCUAUAGAAGUCUAUGAGAAAAUGACUACUUCUCUCUUGAUUUACUCCCUCUGUAAAUAUUGUAAACAUGAGUUUAUGGUCUCAAUCUGUAGUUUGUAGUCUUCUUUAAUACAGCGUGAUGUUCAUUUAGUAAAUGAUGGUCCAUUUAGAGGCAGACAGCCCAGAAAGCGGAGGACGCUUCAGGGCGGGGCUACACCAUGACAGUACUUUCACUCUGAAAACCGAAGGCCAAACUUGAGCUUUUUCGAACUGAGCUGAUAUCUUCUGUCGCCAAAUGGAGCCCAGAUUCCUACUUCAUCAAUAAGAACGGAAAUAAAAACUUAAUUCUCCAAUCGGCCCCCGAGAGUUCAACCACACCGAAGAGACGAGAGGACGGAGGCACCGACGCAUCCACGCACACACCCGUCCAUCGAGUGAUUCAAAGUUGUUCCCGUCUCUAACCGGCUGACGGGGGUCCAACGCGUCGCCCUGGGGGGAUAAUUAAGAACCUGCAUCGUCGUGUCUCAAGUGUUUAAUAACACCGACCCACGUGUCCUCCUCUUCAACGGAGGCAUUCUUUCCGCUGUUUUUUUUUUUUAAAGAUCUGACUUGGAUUGGACAAACGGAUUUUGUCCCAAACCUCUCAAAUGGGGUUAGGGGUGGGGGGGUGGGAGGGGACUGUCUUUGUGUCUUUAACACUCAGAACCUCUUGAAUAAUGACAGCAAUGAUAAGCAUUCAGAGAUGACAAAUGGAAGCGUCUGCAUUAUACAUGGCUGCUUUGUUGGGACGAUGUUCAUCCGAGCACUUAAGUCUCUCCGAACCUGAUGAGCUCCUCCUUCAGGUUUCUGCCCCAUUUCCCCCCCACCUCCCCGCCCUCCUCUCCUCCUCUUCUUCUGGAUAUACAUCUGCAGGAAGCAUUAAUGUUUAAACCCGCGUGUUUUGUCUGAGCGGCAGUUUGUUUUGUCAUUAAAAUAUGGAAGAGCGGCUCUCAUUGUUUCGUGUCCGCUUUUUCUGAAAGACAAAUCUGCUAAGUGAAAUCACGGUGAAAUAUUAAUCGGAUGAGUUGAUUUACAUUUAUGUAACACUUUGCAUACGAUAAAUCGAGCUAAAGUGAGCGAGAGCGGUUCUGUCAUGAGGAAGAGAGCCGAGGAAACAAAUCGCACCACAAGCCCUCCAACACAAAGCUGCAGGAACGAGUUCGAAAACAAGAGGACGAGUCAGCAGUUUGUUUACUUCCUGUUUCCGCGUCUUGAAGGCAUUUUUAAAAAUAAGGUUUUGAUGAGAUUUUAACCUUUUUUUUCUAAUAAAUAAAACACGGUUUGUUACUUUCAAUAAUUAUUGUCGCUGUUCAAGAGCAAACAAAGCUUUAAAAUAUGUUAUUUUCUUGAUUUAUUAUAAAAUGAGUAAGUAUUUAAAUCUGUGUUUAAGUUAGUUAAGUUAGUCCACUCCAAAAAACAGCAAAACCAUCUAGUUCCUUAACGCACCACCUUCAUUUUAGUUCCUGAACACACCACCUACAUUUUAGUUCCUUAACAAAUCACCUUAAUUCUAGUUCCUGAACACCACUCUGCCGUGACCUCCUGGGGGCCGCGGGCCUCGUGUUGGGCCCCUGUGCUGGUUUAUCUGUAGCCUGACGGCUCCCAGCGGGAGAAUUCAACAUAAUAGUUUCUUCUGAAUGUAGUUUUGUGAUUUAAAUUGCUAAUUAUAAUGGUGAUGGAACAAAUAAAUAAAACAUGACCUUAGCGUGUUUUUAUCUCUCACUGUAAAAACUCUGGCGGUCAGUAAAUCAGCCGCGGUGGCGUUCCGGCGAUGACUCGUCUGUUGUUGGGUAAAUGCUCCGUAAAUGUCACUCUGGAAAACAACAUUGCAGUGGGUUUAAUGUAUUUAAUGACAUGAACAGUUAUUUACAUUUGUUCCUCUUCUUUUGUGUCCCAUAAUUCCACUUUUCAGGAUCAAUGUUUAUUUUGUAAUUUCCUUUUAUUUGACUUAAAAAUCUCCCUUCAUGAGUUUUAAUGUAAACCAACAAAAGUUUGAAUGUUUCACAUUCCGCAUUUGUCACAAUAACUCAAACUAACAGGUUGAAUGUUUUCGCUUCUUUUUGUCUUCUGUAAGUCAAAAACCAAUAAUCUGUUGACACAUGUGGUAUUUCACUGUCCGACACUAAAAUAGAAAACGCAUCGACAGGAUGUGAAGAGGCUGCGGCCCUCUGGGGGCUGUAGGAACUCAGCACAUACAAUGGAUGCAUGUAAGGACUCCAACAUAAUUUAUUUUCAUCAUGCAACAAAAUGCACUCGCAGCCCGUUUGCUGCACACGAGGAACAUGACGCACAAAAGCUAAAAGCAGUCAUGUGUUCCUGCAGUGCAACGUUAAACAUCUGCAUCAGGAGGAAGAUAAACAGCGGCCCUGAAAGCAGAUGACACGGCCGACUCAAUAAGACCAUGAAUCUUUCACCGACUUCUGUCCCUGAACCUUUUAGAAUUUUUAGAGGCAGCAAACGAUUUGGGAGUUUUAAGAUAAUCUUUGUAAAACAUCCGAUGUUCCCUUCGAUUGUCCCGUAAAACACGUUAAGAGACGUGACGCUCAGUGUGGACUCCUUCCUAAUAUCAUGAUUUGAUAAUGGUUCAAAGGUCGAAGUAGUAGUAGUUCAUAGUACAGAGGUCAUGGUAGUAAUACCUUAUAGUAUGGAGGUAACAGUAUUAAUACCUCAUAGCACGGAGGUAACAGUAGUAAGACCUCAUAGUACGGAGGUAACAGUAGUAAUACCUCAUAGUACGGAGGUAACAGUAGUAAUACCUCAUAGUACGGAGAUAACAGUAGUAAUACCUCAUAGAACGGAGGUAACAGUAGUAAUACCUCAUAGAACGGAGGUAACUGUAGUAAUACCUCAUAGUACGGAGGUAACAGUAGUAAUACCUCAUAGUACGGAGGUAACUGUAGUAAUACCUCAUAGAACGGAGGUAACUGUAGUAAUACCUCAUAGUACGGAGGUAACAGUAGUAAUACCUCAUAGUACGGAGGUAACUGUAGUAAUACCUCAUAGAACGGAGGUAACUGUAGUAAUACCUCAUAGUACGGAGGUAACAGUAGUAAUACCUCAUAGUACGGAGGUAACAGUAG
ensembl:lncRNA